GCCGAUGUCUGAUUAGCUAGUUGGUGAGGUAAAGGCUUACCAAGGCGUCGAUCAGUAGCUGGUCUGAGAGGACGACCAGCCACACUGGGACUGAGACACGGCCCAGACUCCUACGGGAGGCAGCAGUGGGGAAUUUUGGACAAUGGGGGAAACCCUGAUCCAGCCAUGCCGCGUGAGUGAAGAAGGCCUUCGGGUUGUAAAGCUCUUUCAGCCGGAACGAAACGGUCACGGCUAAUACCUGUGAUCACUGACGGUACCGGAAGAAGA
rnacentral:rRNA from 1 species